rnacentral:rRNA from 1 species
GACGAACGCUGGCGGCGUGCUUAACACAUGCAAGUCGAACGGAAAGGCCCUGCUUUUGUGGGUUGCUCGAUUGGCGAACGGGUGAGUAACACGUGAGUAUCCUGCCCUUGACUUUGGGAUAACUUCAGGAAACUGGGGCUAAUACCGGGUAGGAGCUCUUGCUGCAUGGUGUGGGUUGGAAAGUUUCGGCGGUGGGGGAUGGACUCGCGGCUUAUGAGCUUGUUGGUGGGGUAGUGGCUUACCAAGGCUUUGACGGGUAGCCGGCCUGAGAGGGUGACCGGCGACAAUGGGACUGAGGUACGGAGCAGACUGCUACGGGAGGCAGCAGUGGGGAAUAUUGCGCAGCAGGCGGAAGCCUGAUGCAGCAACGCCGGGAGCGGGAUAACGGCUUUCGGGUUGUAAACCGCUUUCGCAUGUGACGAGGCGUGAGUGACGGUAAUGGGUAAAGAAGCACCGGCUAACUACGUG